rnacentral:rRNA from 1 species
ACAGGUGGUUAUUGUGGAGGUGUUACACCCGUUCCCUUUCCGAACACGGAAGUUAAGCCCGCUUACGCCGAUGAUACUUGGCCUUAAGGCCCGGGAAAGUAGGCAGCUGCCUGUU